ACAAUUAAUUUGAAGAAGUAAAAUUAAUAAAUUUAUAAUUAAUAAAAUUAAUUUUAAUAUUAAAAUAGGGGGUUUUAGUAUUAAUAAAAAAAUUAAUUGUAAAUUUUAUAGUAAAUUAGUAUUGUAAAAGAAUUUUGAAAUAAAAAUGAAAAAUAAUUUUUUAAAAAGUAAAUUUAAUUUAUUGUAUCUUGUGUAUCAGAGUUUAUUAAUAAAAAUUUAAAUAUAUAAAUUUCUCGAAUUAAAAAGAGUUAUUCAUUUAUAAAUAAAAGUUAUUGUUGCAUAAAUAUUUUUAAUAAAUGAAUAGAAAUGAAAUGUUAAUCGUUUUUUAAGAUAUCUAGUUUUUUUAGAAAAAAAUUUAAUUUUAAAUAUAUUUUUAAUUUAAUUAAUUUUAAAAAUUAAUUUAAAAUAUAAUUUUAUAAUUUAAGGGAUAAGCUUUAAAUUAAAUUUUUAUAAUAAAUAAAUUUAAAUUAUUAGAUUUUUAAAAUUUAAAUUGUUUAUAAAAUUUAAUUUAUUAUAAAUAAUCUAAUUAAAAAAAAAAAUUUAAAUAAAAUUAUUUAAUUUUUUAUAAAAAAUUAAUUAUUAAUAAAAAAUAAUUAAAUAUAAUGAUAAAAUUAGUAUAAAAUUAAAAAUAUUUUAUUUAAUAUUUUUUAAAUUAUAAAAAAGUAAUUCGGCAAAUAUUUAUAUUCACUUGUUUAUCAAAAACAUGUCUUUUUGUUUUAAAUAUAAAGUCUAAUCUGCCCACUGAUUUUUAAAAAUUAAAGGGCUGCAGUAUUUUGACUGUACAAAGGUAGCAUAAUCAAUAGUCUCUUAAUUAGUGACUGGUAUGAAAGAUUGGAUGAAAUAUAAACUGUCUCUUUUAUAAAAAUAGAAUUUAAUUUUUUAAUUAAAAAGUUAAAAUUUGAUAAAAAGACGAGAAGACCCUAUAGAGUUUUAUAAUUUGUUUUAUAAAAAUUUUAUAGUUAUAUAUUAUUUAAAAUAAAUUAAAUUAUUUUGUUGGGGUGAUAGAAAAAUUAAAAAAACUUUUUUUAAAAUAAAUCAUAAAUAAAUGAAUAAAUGAUCCAAAAAUUUUGAUUAUAAGAAAAAAUUACCUUAGGGAUAACAGCGUAAUUUUUUUUUUUAGUUCAAAUAAGAAAAAAAGUUUGCGACCUCGAUGUUGGAUUAAGAUAAAAUUUAGGUGUAAAAGUUUAAAAUUUUGAUCUGUUCGAUCAUUAAAAUCUUACAUGAUCUGAGUUCAAACCGGUGUAAGCCAGGUUGGUUUCUAUCUUUUAUAAAUAUAAAUAUUUUAGUACGAAAGGAAUAAAUAUUUAAAUUAAAUUUUAUUUUAUUGAUAAAUAUUAAUAUUUAAAUAAAGUUAAAAAUUAUAUAAAAAUAUACUAUUUUGACAGAAAAAUGU
rnacentral:rRNA from 1 species